rnacentral:lncRNA from 1 species
CCUCCUUCAGUUCUAGUCCCCCUGAAGCAUCUCUCCUGAGAGCCAGUCCUGGACCUCGACCCUUGGCUGCCCAGCCAGCACUCAUGAGUAUAAUUCCUGCUGAUAAUCUACAACAUUGACUUGUACAUGGGAAGGCAAACAUUUGUUAGAAAUUCUUUCUGCUACCUUUGAUCGGAAUGAAAGAAAAAAAAUCAAGAGAUAUUAAAAUCAACUACAAAGGCAAAGGAACCUGUCUUUUCAGUUGAAGAAAAGAACUGCUGCCUCAUUAUGGUCUUUUUCAAUUAAAAUGAACUCAUGUUGAUAGACAAA